AACGAACGCUGGCGGCAGGCCUAACACAUGCAAGUCGAGCGAGGACUUCGGUCAUAGCGGCGGACGGGUGAGUAACGCGUGGGAACGUGCCCUUUGCUUCGGAAUAGCCCUGGGAAACUGGGAGUAAUACCGGAUGAGCCCUUUGGGGGAAAGAUUUAUCGGCGAAGGAUCGGCCCGCGUUGGAUUAGGUAGUUGGUGGGGUAAUGGCCUACCAAGCCGACGAUCCAUAGCUGGUUUGAGAGGAUGAUCAGCCACACUGGGACUGAGACACGGCCCAGACUCCUACGGGAGGCAGGAGUGGGGAAUCUUAGACAAUGGGGGAAACCCUGAUCUAGCCAUGCCGCGUGAGCGAUGAAGGCCUUAGGGUUGUAAAGCUCUUUCAGCUGGGAAGAUAAUGACGGUACCAGCAGAAGAAGCCCCGGCUAACUCCGUG
rnacentral:rRNA from 1 species